UACGUAGGGGGCAAGCGUUGUCCGGAUUUACUGGGCGUAAAGAGCGUGUAGGCGGCCAAACAGGUCCGUUGUGAAAACUCGAGCUCAACCUCGAGACGCCGAUGGAAACCGCAUGGCUAGAGUCCGGAAGAGGAGAGUGGAAUUCCUGGUGUAGCGGUGAAAUGCGCAGAUAUCAGGAAGAACACCCGUGGCUAAGGCGGCUCUCUAGUACGGUACUGACGCUGAGACGCGAAAGCGUGGGGAGCGAACAGG
rnacentral:rRNA from 1 species